rnacentral:rRNA from 1 species
ACUUGAUCAUUUAGAGGAAGUAA